GGUAAACGCUAGCGGCGUGCCUUAUGCAUGCAAGUCGAACGGUCUCGAUUUAUCGGGAUAGUGGCGAACGGGUGAGUAACGCGUAAGUAAUCUGCCCCCAAGUAGGGGAUAACUCCGAGAAAUUGGAGCUAAUACUGUAUGUGGUGGUGGGGGUAAUGCUUCAUCACUAAAGCCUUAGGGCGCUUGGGGAGGGGCUUGCGUCCGAUUAGCUAGUUGGUAGGGUAAUGGUCUACCAAGGCGAUGAUCGGUAGCUGGUUUGAGAGGACGUCCAGCCACACUGGGACUGAGACACGGCCCAGACUCCUACGGGAGGCAGCAGCAAGGAAUUUUGUGCAAUGGGCGAAAGCCUGACACAGCGACGCCGCGUGGGGGAUGAAGGCCUUCGGGUUGUAAACCCUUUUCUCAGGGAAGAAUAAUGACGGUACCUGAGGAAUAAGUCUUGGCUAACUACGUGCCAGCAGCCGCGGUAAUACGUAGGAGGCGAGCGUUAUCCGGAUUUACUGGGUGUAAAGAGGGCGCAGGCGGUUUUUCAAGUCGAAUGUAAAAUCUCCCGGCUUAACUGGGAGGGACCAUUCGAUACUGUUGGGCUAGAGGGCAGCAGAAGGAGGUGGAAUUCCCGGUGUAGUGGGUGAAAUGCGUAGAUAUCGGGAGGAACACCAGUGGCGAAGGCGGCCUCCUAGGCUGUUUCUGACGCUGAGGCCCGAAAGCGUGGGGAGCGAACAGGAUUAGAUACCCUGGUAGUCCACGCCGUAAACUAUGGACACUAGGUAUAGGGAGUAUCGACCCUCUCUGUGCCGAAGCUAACGCAUUAAGUGUCCCGCCUGGGGAGUACGGCCGCAAGGCUAAAACUCAAAGGAAUUGACGG
rnacentral:rRNA from 1 species